AGUUGUGCCAACCUAUUGCCAUC
rnacentral:miRNA from 14 species